rnacentral:rRNA from 1 species
CCUACGGGUGGCAGCAGUGAGGAAUAUUGGUCAAUGGGCGCAAGCCUGAACCAGCCAAGUCGCGUGAAGGAUGACUGCCCUACGGGUUGUAAACUUCCUUUAUAAAGGAAUAAAGUUAGGCACGUGUGCUUUUUUGUAUGUACUUUAUGAAUAAGGAUCGGCUAACUCCGUGCCAGCAGCCGCGGUAAUACGGAGGAUCCGAGCGUUAUCCGGAUUUAUUGGGUUUAAAGGGAGCGUAGAUGGGUUGUUAAGUCAGUUGUGAAAGGUUGCGGCUUAACCGUAAAAUUGCAAUUGAUACUGGCAGCCUUGAGUACAGUUGAGGUAGGCGGAAUGCGUGGUGUAGCGGUGAAAUGCUUAGAGAUCACGAAGAACUCCGAUUGCGAAGGCAGCCUACUAAUCUGCAACUGACAUUGAGGCUCGAAAGUGUGGGUAUCAAACAGGAUUAGAUACCCGAGUAGUC